AUGUCAGUGGCAGAAAAUUCUGGUCCUUCAAAAUAUUGUGCAAACUCAUCACUGCACUUUGGACAAGGUACCCAGCUGACAGUGCUUGGGAACAACAAUGAAAUCAUACCUCCAGCUGUGGCCAUUUUUUCCCCAUCAAAGCAAAGAAGAGCAAGGCCACAUUGGUAUGGCUGGCCUCUGGUUUCUACCCUGACCACCUGAAUCUGGUCUGGAAGGUGAAUGGUGCUAAAAGGACAGAAGGCGUGGGGACAGAUGAGUUUUCCACGUGGAAUGGGAGUACCUACUCAUUGACCAGCCAUCCUUCGGCCUCAUUCCAGGAAUGGUUCAACACUUUGAAUCAUUUUGAGUGUGUUGCCAAUUUUUUUAAGAAUGGAACACUGGAAUCAGUACACAAAUUAAUUUACAGUGAUGCUGGUGAACCAAUUCCAAAUCAGUCAUACCAAUCUAUCAGAAGUGCUACAGCUGGGAAGUUCAUGUACAUUAUGAUCAUUUUCAAGAGCGUUUUGUAUGGGAUGUUUGUGAUGGGGCUGAUGCAUAGGGCCAAGGAGAAAAACACAGUCCUACUCAGUACACAUUUGUCUUAA